rnacentral:lncRNA from 1 species
UAGACACUCAUCACUUUCGUGAACAAGCACCUGAAUAAACUGAACCUGGAGGUCACAGAACUGGAAACCCAGUUUGCAGAUGGGGUGUACCUGGUGCUGCUCAUGGGGCUCCUGGAGGGCUACUUUGUGCCCCUGCACAGCUUCUUCCUGACCCCGGACAGCUUUGAACAGAAGGUCUUGAAUGUCUCCUUUGCCUUUGAGCUCAUGCAAGAUGGAGGGUUGGAAAAGCCAAAACCGCG